AACGCACAUUGCGCCCUUUGGUAUUCCGAGGGGCAUGCCUGUUCGAGCGUCAUUACACCUCUCAAGCCUGGCUUGGUGUUGGGCCGUACCGGGAACGGUUGGCUCUAAAAUCAGUGGCGGUGCCUCGUCGGCCCUGAGCGUAGUACACAUCUCGCUAUAGGACCGGUAGGUGUCUGCCAGAACCCCUAAUUCUAUGGUUGACCUCGGAUCAGGUAGGGAUACCCGCUGAACUUAA
rnacentral:misc_RNA from 1 species